UACAGAGGUCUCAACCGUUGUUCGGAUUCAUUGGGCGUAAAGGGUGCGUAGGCGGUCGCGCAAGUCGGAUGUGAAAUCUUGGGGCUCAACCCCGAAACUGCAUUCGAUACUGCGUGGCUCGAGUACUGGAGAGGAGACUGGAAUUUACGGUGUAGCAGUGAAAUGCGUAGAUAUCGUAAGGAAGACCAGUGGCGAAGGCGGGUCUCUGGACAGUUCCUGACACUGAGGCACGAAGGCCAGGGGAGCAAACGGG
rnacentral:rRNA from 1 species